rnacentral:rRNA from 1 species
UACGGAGGGGGCUAGCGUUGUUCGGAAUUACUGGGCGUAAAGCACACGUAGGCGGCUUUGCAAGUCAGAGGUGAAAGCCCGGGGCUCAACCCCGGAAUAGCCUUUGAGACUGCAUCGCUAGAAUUGUGGAGAGGUAAGUGGAAUUCCGAGUGUAGAGGUGAAAUUCGUAGAUAUUCGGAAGAACACCAGUGGCGAAGGCGACUUACUGGACACAUAUUGACGCUGAGGUGCGAAAGCGUGGGAGCAAACAGG